rnacentral:rRNA from 1 species
UACGAAGGGGGCUAGCGUUGCUCGGAAUCACUGGGCGUAAAGCGCACGUAGGCGGCUUUCUAAGUCAGGGGUGAAAUCCUGGAGCUCAACUCCAGAACUGCCUUUGAUACUGGAAGGCUUGAGUCCGGGAGAGGUGAGUGGAACUGCGAGUGUAGAGGUGAAAUUCGUAGAUAUUCGCAAGAACACCAGUGGCGAAGGCGGCCCACUGGCCCGGUACUGACGCUGAGGUGCGAAAGCGUGGGGAGCAAACAGG